UAACCGAAUAGGGGAGCCGAAGGGAAACCGAGUCUUAACUGGGCGUUAAGUUGCAGGGUAUAGACCCGAAACCCGGUGAUCUAGCCAUGGGCAGGUUGAAGGUUGGGUAACACUAACUGGAGGACCGAACCGACUAAUGUUGAAAAAUUAGCGGAUGACUUGUGGCUGGGGGUGAAAGGCCAAUCAAACCGGGAGAUAGCUGGUUCUCCCCGAAAGCUAUUUAGGUAGCGCCUCGUGAAUUCAUCUCCGGGGGUAGAGCACUGUUUCGGCAAGGGGGUCAUCCCGACUUACCAACCCGAUGCAAACUGCGAAUACCGGAGAAUGUUAUCACGGGAGACACACGGCGGGUGCUAACGUCCGUCGUGAAGAGGGAAACAACCCAGACCGCCAGCUAAGGUCCCAAAGUCAUGGUUAAGUGGGAAACGAUGUGGGAAGGCCCAGACAGCCAGGAUGUUGGCUUAGAAGCAGCCAUCAUUUAAAGAAAGCGUAAUAGCUCACUGGUCGAGUCGGCCUGCGCGGAAGAUGUAACGGGGCUAAACCAUGCACCGAAGCUGCGGCAGCGACGCUUAUGCGUUGUUGGGUAGGGGAGCGUUCUGUAAGCCUGCGAAGGUGUGCUGUGAGGCAUGCUGGAGGUAUCAGAAGUGCGAAUGCUGACAUAAGUAACGAUAAAGCGGGUGAAAAGCCCGCUCGCCGGAAGACCAAGGGUUCCUGUCCAACGUUAAUCGGGGCAGGGUGAGUCGACCCCUAAGGCGAGGCCGAAAGGCGUAGUCGAUGGGAAACAGGUUAAUAUUCCUGUACUUGGUGUUACUGCGAAGGGGGGACGGAGAAGGCUAUGUUGGCCGGGCGACGGUUGUCCCGGUUUAAGCGUGUAGGCUGGUUUUCCAGGCAAAUCCGGAAAAUCAAGGCUGAGGCGUGAUGACGAGGCACUACGGUGCUGAAGCAACAAAUGCCCUGCUUCCAGGAAAAGCCUCUAAGCAUCAGGUAACAUCAAAUCGUACCCCAAACCGACACAGGUGGUCAGGUAGAGAAUACCAAGGCGCUUGAGAGAACUCGGGUGAAGGAACUAGGCAAAAUGGUGCCGUAACUUCGGGAGAAGG
rnacentral:rRNA from 1 species